rnacentral:rRNA from 1 species
CAGCCGCCGCGGUAAUACGGAGGGUGCAAGCGUUAUCCGGAUUUAUUGGGUUUAAAGGGUCCGUAGGCGGACUUAUAAGUCAGUGGUGAAAGCCUGUCGCUUAACGAUAGAACUGCCAUUGAUACUGUAAGUCUUGAGUAUAUUUGAGGUAGCUGGAAUAAGUAGUGUAGCGGUGAAAUGCAUAGAUAUUACUUAGAACACCAAUUGCGAAGGCAGGUUACCAAGAUAUAACUGACGCUGAGGGACGAAAGCGUGGGUAGCGAACAGGAUUAGAUACCCGUGUAGUCCCUGUCUCUUAUAU